CCGGUGUGUCCCCCACCCCGCACCUUUGUCAGGUGGCUGGUGAACAAACUGGAGACCUUGCAAGAAGAGCAGGCUUUAGGCUGAAAGGCAAGACCAGAAACUGGGCAGACCGAUGCCAGGCCAAGUGAACACUCCAGGAAAGAUGUCAGUAGGAAAGUUGGAAGCUGGCAGAGUGGGCUUGGCUCUGGAUCUCUGCAGGAAUGCAAGGACACAGUUUCACUAUGUAGUUCAGGCUGACCAUGAACUUACUUAACUUUGUACCCCAGCCUGGCCCUGAGCUCACAGCGAUCUUUCUGCCUCAGCCUUGAAGAUACUGGAAUUAUAGGUGUGUGC